GCUGACGGACAGGGCCGGGGCGGGCCAAAGCCAGGUCGGAGGGGCGCGCGCGGUGGCGCGGAGAGGCGAGGACGCGAAUGCGCGUGCGCGAGCGGCGGGGCUCUUUCCCCGAGCCGUCGGAGGGAGCGGGAGCGCUUCUCCCGAGUUGGUGAUCGAUUGGUUGUGAUCCACCAUGCAGAAGUGAGCGAUGAAAGGCAACAGAGCUGAUGGGUCAUGAGGAUGUAAGUGCAUUUGAAGGCUCUCACACCCUCUACUCCAGGGUAAAUGAAGACCCAGUUCACGGGAUUCUCCCAGUGUGGAGACUGCAGUCAGGAAGCAAAAAAUGUGACAUAAGAGAAAUAAAAGGCCUGCUGCUAUCCCGGCCAAGGUAAGAAUGAAGCAUUCAGGGAAGUGCCCGGGAUUCUAUCCCAGUGCUCCUGUUGGGACUGGAUUCUAUCCCAGUGCUCCUGUUGGGACUGGGGAGCAGAAAGAAGCAUAGUGCAGGUGCCUCCCAAACCAAUAUGGAGCAGUUCAGUCCCCAUACACCAAGGAUGCUCAGGUGAGAACCAGAAGCAUCACAGCAGAUGUAGGGUGGACAUGCAGCCCAGGACCAUGUGGUGCUGGGGCUGCAGCCAGCUUGGAAAAGCUAAAUAAACAAUAGGGAAAUGGCUAGAUCUGGCUGGGA
rnacentral:lncRNA from 1 species